rnacentral:rRNA from 1 species
AGAGUUUGAUCAUGGCUCAGAUUGAACGCUGGCGGCAGGCCUAACACAUGCAAGUCGAACGGUAACAUUUCUAGCUUGCUAGAAGAUGACGAGUGGCGGACGGGUGAGUAAUGCUUGGGAACUUGCCUUUGCGAGGGGGAUAACAGUUGGAAACGACUGCUAAUACCGCAUAAUGUCUUCGGACCAAACGGGGCUUAGGCUCCGGCGCAAAGAGAGGCCCAAGUGAGAUUAGCUAGUUGGUAAGGUAACGGCUUACCAAGGCGACGAUCUCUAGCUGUUCUGAGAGGAAGAUCAGCCACACUGGGACUGAGACACGGCCCAGACUCCUACGGGAGGCAGCAGUGGGGAAUAUUGCACAAUGGGGGGAACCCUGAUGCAGCCAUGCCGCGUGUGUGAAGAAGGCCUUCGGGUUGUAAAGCACUUUCAGUUGUGAGGAAAAGUUAGUAGUUAAUACCUGCUAGCCGUGACGUUAACAACAGAAGAAGCACCGGCUAACUCCGUGCCAGCAGCCGCGGUAAUACGGAGGGUGCGAGCGUUAAUCGGAAUUACUGGGCGUAAAGCGCACGCAGGCGGUUUGUUAAGCUAGAUGUGAAAGCCCCGGGCUCAACCUGGGACGGUCAUUUAGAACUGGCAGACUAGAGUCUUGGAGAGGGGAGUGGAAUUCCAGGUGUAGCGGUGAAAUGCGUAGAUAUCUGGAGGAACAUCAGUGGCGAAGGCGACUCCCUGGCCAAAGACUGACGCUCAUGUGCGAAAGUGUGGGUAGCGAACAGGAUUAGAUACCCUGGUAGUCCACACCGUAAACGCUGUCUACUA